GCACAGUAAACGAUGAUCACUCGCUGUCGGCGAUAGACGGUCGGCGGCCAAGCGAAAGCGAUAAGUGAUUCACCUGGGGAGUACGCCGGCAACGGUGAAACUCAAAGGAAUUGACGGGGGCCCGCACAAGCGGAGGAACAUGUGGUUUAAUUCGAUGAUACGCGAGGAACCUUACCCGGGCUUGAACCGCAGCUGACCGGUGCAGAGAUGCGCCCUCCCUUCGGGGCAGCUGUAGAGGUGCUGCAUGGUUGUCGUCAGCUCGUGCCGUGAGGUGUCGGCUUAAGUGCCAUAACGAGCGCAACCCUUGCCGUCAGUUGCCAUCAGGUAAUGCUGGGCACUCUGUCGGGACUGCCAUCGUAAGAUGCGAGGAAGGUGGGGAUGACGUCAAAUCAGCACGGCCCUUACGUCCGGGGCUACACACGUGUUACAAUGGGGGGUACAGAGGGCCGCCACCUGGUGACAGGGCGCCAAUCCAUUAAAACCCCUCUCAGUUCGGAUCGGAGUCUGCAACCCGACUCCGUGAAGCUGGAUUCGCUAGUAAUCGCGCAUCAGCCAUGGCGCGGUGAAUACGUUCCCGGGCCUUGUACACACCGCCCGUCAAGCCAUGAAAGCCGGGGGCACCUGAAGUCCGUAACCGCGAGGAUCGGCCUAGGGUGAAACUGGUGAUUGGGGCU
rnacentral:rRNA from 1 species